CAGCAGGAGCCAAAUGAUGCAGACAGAUCCAAAGGUUCCUGUCCCUUUCUGUGACGCACAUGACAGAGUCAAAUCAAUGAGAUGAGGCUGAAUCAAUGAGAUGUCAACGACGUCUUAUCAUUGUCUGCUGCAGCUUGACGGUGAUCUCACAGCUGCAGUGAUUCACAAGAAAGGCAGUUUGAGAUUUGAACUCGGCUGAUGGAGAGAGCUGCCCUAUUGCUCUGUGCACCUGGUCAAGGGGAGAUAUUCCUGAUAAACUGCUGAAGGAAAGGUGGUUAUAAUAUGACCACACAAAGUAAAGGGGAGAAAAAAAAAGACAAAUAUAGAAGACAAAGCUGAGAAAUGAAACCCAACGUCGUGCUGAGCGAGAGAAGAUGGUCGCUCACCUCCGAUUUUCCGGAAACCCAUUUCCAAUCUACUAAUCCUGCUCUCGCACAGUAUGAGUCAUCUACCACACGGAGCAGCACAGCUCCAACUGCAUUCUCUACAGGGCAAGAAGGGCAGGAGACCGCAUUUAGUUUUGAGUUUCUUCCUGAAAAACUGCUGAUGUAUGUUUCCACCUCUUUACCACUGCUUUCACCUUCCCAGGCUUAUGAUUCAUGCUUCCUGUGAUUCCAGACCUGGUUUUUGCAUGCCAAAAAAGGUCUGAAGGAGGCGAAAGCAUAACAGUGGGGUGGAGGCGGCCUGCGUGGUGGGAUUCAAAGCAGAUGCCCUUUCCCCUGGAAGGCCCCUCCUCUCGGAGCCACACAGAUCACAGGAGUUCCCUCUCAGGCCCCGUCAGACCCCUCACGCUCUAACAUUUACACUAAAUUACCAAGCUUCAAAGUGCACUGUAUGUACCCAGACUGAAAUGAUUAAGUCAUAGAUCCUGAAAAAACCACCAGGAUUCAAUUUCAUUGUGGAAUUUUGCUUGCAUUGUGAUUAAUGGAAGUGAUUUGUUCGGUAAGCCGAUCUAAAUCUAAUUUAGACUUUAAUAGGGUCUUUUCCAAUAAUUGCACAAUUGCGGCAACUCCAAAUAAAUGAUACAAUCAGCAAACGUCAAAUUGUAUUUACAUUUCUACCCUUAUUACCAUAGACAGCUAUAUUAAUUGUGUUGGGUUUUCUCCAUAUUGUGACUCUUUGUUCUUGAGCAGACAUGUUUUCACUGCAACGCUGAUACAUGAACAUGUGCGUACAACUUUUUUUCUUUUACUUGAAGAGCAAAUUAAACUUUC